UAAUCAAAGCGCGAAAGCGCUGUAAAGGCAGUUAAUUACAGGUUGUGUGUAUUUUUAGUCCAGUUAUAUCAUUAUCUUGCAUAGUACAGUGUACUUAUCAGAGGUGGCUUUCAGUAUUUAAGAUUUAGAGUUCUCUAAUGAUAUUGAACAAGUUUUAUGAAUGUCAUAUUCUGAGCACUAUAUGAAGGCGUUUGUUCUCACUUGUUUAUGAACUUGUGCAUUAUAUCCAGUUUGUACCUUUUUUAUCUAUGUUUAUAGUCAAAUUAGUUAUCAAAGGUACCAGGAUUAUAAUUUAAUACGCCAGACUCGCGUUUCGUCUACAUAAGACUCAUCAGUGACGCUCAGAUCAAAAUAGUUAUAAAGCCAAACAAGUACAAAGUUGAAGAGCAUUGAGGACCCAAAAUUCCAAAAAAUUGUGCCAAAUACGGCUAAGGUAAUCUAUUCCUUGGAUAAGAAAAUCCUUAGUUUUUCGAAAAAUUCAAAGUUUUGUAACAGGAAGUUUAUAAAAAUGACCAUAUAAUUGAUAUUCAAAUACUGUUUAAAAUAGUUAGGCAUUUUCUUUUUAGAAAUAAGUAAAUGUUAUCAACUGUAUUUUAUUCAACUCUGCAAAUGUGGUUUGUUACUGGUAAGUAUGGAUGAUAGUUGUUUCAUUGGCAAUCAUAACACAUCUCCUUAUUUAUAUAAUGAUCUAUAUUCAACGACCUCAGGUACAAAAAAAAUGUAUGUAACUAAACUGUGAUGGGAAACCUUUGACUUCUUUCUUUUAUAUAAACUUUUGAUUUGGUACCAUAGAACUAUGUAGAAUAAAUGUACAUUGCAACAUGUCAACUCUUUCAAUGACAAUACUUUUUUAGAAACUAUAACUCCAAGCAAAAUUAUAUUUCCAAGUUUAAAGUAAUUUAUGAAUGAAAAAAGGAGUUCUUAAUUAAGAAAUAAACUAAUUCGCUGAGCGCAGCUGGAUACACCUCAGAGGUCCAACCCUGAACAGUUGGGGCAAAAAUGGACACAAUAUUCAAGCUUGAUACAGGUCUGAAUUUGGAUUGUAAUUAAAUAUUUGACAUAUUAUAGGUUUCUGAAUAAAUGUAGUCAAAGAUCUUGAAAUUGGUUAUAUGAAUUGAAUAUGCAAUUAAAGAUUUCUUGCUGUUGUGCAAUACUUAGUAAACCUGUUGUCAGACUAUAAACAAAUAAAGUUCAAUUAAUUCACAAUGUCAUAUUAGAAAUUUAUGAAAAUAAAAAGGGAGCUUACAACAAUAGAUAUAAACAAUUAACCAAAGUUUCAUGAGAAUUGGUGACAGCAUAUUUGAGUUAUUGUUCGAAAACUGGAAAAUCACCCCUUUUUUUAAUGAAUAAAACCCCAUAACUCAGAAAUGUAAAAUGUAAAAUUUAUAAAAUUCUAAAGGGAGCUUACAUCAAUACAUACAAACAAUUCACCAAAGUUUCAUAAGAAUUGCUGUAAGCAUUUUAGAGUUUUUGUCCGAAAACUGGAAAAUCCCCCCUUUUUUUAUGAAUAAAACCCUGUAACUCGGAAACGUAAAAUCUAAAAU